GGAAAUGUGCCUGAAUAAAAGGGUAACUUUGAUAGAGUUAAUCAUAGAGGUUAACCCCUCUCAUUUCCU
rnacentral:tRNA from 1 species